rnacentral:snRNA from 1 species
UCGACUCUCGGCAGAAGCU